AUGGCGCGCCCAGCCUUCGCUUUCACCGGCCCCGCUACCCCGGGGAGGGCAGAUUUAGGGCUUACCCUGCCCUGCUCCCUCCGCCGGCCCGGCUGCCUCCCUCCGUCCCUCCCUGCCGGGCCGGGCCGGGCCGGGCCGGGCGGCGCCGCAAGGUCAGCCCCGCGCCCCGCCCGCCGGCCCCGCCGCGCCGCCCGCGCUACGAACCCUUGUCCUGCGCGCCCGCGCUGCCCAUGGCGGCGGAGCGCGGAGCUCCGCGCCUCGGCCCGCCGCGCCCGCUGUCCAAACCCUGGCUGGAGUCCCGACGGCUCGGGCUACGGCGUGGUCCCGGGCGGCGGGGGCAGCUCGCCCGGGCUCCCCGCGCUGCCCGGCGAUGCGACCCCGCCGGGAGAUGCUCAAACCGCCCUAAUUAAAAAAUUAAACACGGCCGCUGCUGCUACCGCCUCCUCCUCCACCUCUUCGCCCGCCCCUUUCCAUCGCUAUUCAGCCGCGCUCUUCUCCGGCCCCGCUUUUCGCCUAUUAAACCCAGGAGCGUGGAAACUUCCUGCAAAACACUACGUGCGGUGCAUCGGAAUCUGACACUCAUGUUCUACUCUGAAGACUUCUGACUUUAUGUAUUAAAGAUCCACUUUUCUGAAAUUGAAACUGGAAAAGAAACUGACAGCCAGCAAUAGGGAAUGAGUCUCCUUCUUCAUCUACCAAUUGUCAGCAGACAAGUACCACUGUUUUUCUGUUCAAGAUGGUAUAUUUUAAAAUGGAAAAGUGAUGGAAUAACAAUAUUCUUCUGCAUUUUGUUUCUUUUUCACUUGAAAUUCACAAGUUUUUCUUUUGCAUGGGAAAGGUGAUUUUUUGGUAAGGCAAAUGAGGAGCAGUGUAUGUGGCUCAUUCUGGAUAUAUGGACCAAGGGACCAUUUGCUACUCUUUGCUUUCAAUUUAUCAGGAUCCAUCUUUUGUGUUCAACUAACAGUUACUGUCACUUUCAUCCGACUUCAGUCAUAUUUGCUGUUGAUUUGAUCCUUAUUUAGGGAGUGCUGUGUUUCUUCAAAGGAGAGCCCUUGAUCACAAAUAGAUUUUAUAAUCAUCUAGUAAUUUGUUAUGUUGAGUUGGCAAAUUCAACUGGCCUAAUUUAAGGUUGGGCAAGACACUUAAAGUGGCUGCCAGUGAAUGAAAGGCAACAUGGAAGUCUUAGAACUAUUAGCUGGUCAAUACUUUUAACGUUUAAAGAUCACUUGAGUGGUGUAGGUGUCAAGAAAAUGUAACUGUUUUGAGGGAUAACUAACUCCCUUGUAACAUUUCAGCUUAGCUUUAAACAGCUCUUUGCACUUGCAAACAAACUCUCUUCAAUUGCUAGAAAUUUUAAAUGGGCUGAAGUGGCAGAGUUAGUGAAGAAUAUUGUGCACAGAAGAAACAGAACAAGUUGAAACUCCCCUCCUAAGCAAAUUUAAGCAAGUUUUUUGAGAAUAUGCAUAAUCAGAAAGCAAUAGUAUAUAGGGAAAAUAAAAGCAGUAAUAGAGGCGCA
rnacentral:lncRNA from 1 species